rnacentral:rRNA from 1 species
GAUGAACGCUGGCGGCGUGCCUAAUACAUGCAAGUCGAGCGAACAGACGAGGAGCUUGCUCCUCUGACGUUAGCGGCGGACGGGUGAGUAACACGUGGAUAACCUACCUUUAAGACUGGGAUAACUUCGGGAAACCGGAGCUAAUACCGGAUAAUAUAUUGAACCGCAUGGUUCAAUAGUGAAAGACGGUUUUGCUGUCACUUAUAGAUGGAUCCGCGCCGCAUUAGCUAGUUGGUAAGGUAACGGCUUACCAAGGCGACGAUGCGUAGCCGACCGGAGAGGGUGAUCGGCGACACUGGAACUGAGACACGGUCCAGACUCCUACGGGAGGCAGCAGUAGGGAAUCUUCCGCAAUGGGCGAAAGCCUGACGGAGCAACGCCGCGUGAGUGAUGAAGGUCUUCGGAUCGUAAAACUCUGUUAUUAGGGAAGAACAAAUGUGUAAGUAACUAUGCACGUCUUGACGGUACCUAAUCAGAAAGCCACGGCUAACUACGUG